rnacentral:rRNA from 1 species
AACGAACGCUGGCGGCAGGCCUAACACAUGCAAGUCGAGCGGAUCCUUCGGGGUUAGCGGCGGACGGGUGAGUAACGCGUGGGAAUAUGCCCUUCUCUACGGAAUAGCCUCGGGAAACUGGGAGUAAUACCGUAUACGCCCUACGGGGGAAAGAUUUAUCGGAGAAGGAUUAGCCCGCGUUGGAUUAGGUAGUUGGUGGGGUAAUGGCCUACCAAGCCUACGAUCCAUAGCUGGUUUGAGAGGAUGAUCAGCCACACUGGGACUGAGACACGGCCCAGACUCCUACGGGAGGCAGCAGUGGGGAAUCUUAGACAAUGGGGGAAACCCUGAUCUAGCCAUGCCGCGCGAGUGAUGAAGGCCUUAGGGUUGUAAAGCUCUUUCAGCUGGGAAGAUAAUGACGGUACCAGCAGAAGAAGCCCCGGCUAACUCCGUGCCAGCCGCCGCGGUAACAC